ACUAAGCGUACACGGUGGAUGCCCUGGCAGUCAGAGGCGAUGAAGGACGUGCUAAUCUGCGAUAAGCGUCGGUAAGGUGAUAUGAACCGUUAUAACCGGCGAUUUCCGAAUGGGGAAACCCAGUGUGUUUCGACACACUAUCAUUAACUGAAUCCAUAGGUUAAUGAGGCGAACCGGGGGAACUGAAACAUCUAAGUACCCCGAGGAAAAGAAAUCAACCGAGAUUCCCCCAGUAGCGGCGAGCGAACGGGGAGCAGCCCAGAGCCUGAAUCAGUGUGUGUGUUAGUGGAAGCGUCUGGAAAGGCGCGCGAUACAGGGUGACAGCCCCGUACACAAAAAUGCACAUGCUGUGAGCUCGAUGAGUAGGGCGGGACACGUGGUAUCCUGUCUGAAUAUGGGGGGACCAUCCUCCAAGGCUAAAUACUCCUGACUGACCGAUAGUGAACCAGUACCGUGAGGGAAAGGCGAAAAGAACCCCGGCGAGGGGAGUGAAAAAGAACCUGAAACCGUGUACGUACAAGCAGUGGGAGCACGCUUAGGCGUGUGACUGCGUACCUUUUGUAUAAUGGGUCAGCGACUUAUAUUCUGUAGCAAGGUUAACCGAAUAGGGGAGCCGAAGGGAAACCGAGUCUUAACUGGGCGUUAAGUUGCAGGGUAUAGACCCGAAACCCGGUGAUCUAGCCAUGGGCAGGUUGAAGGUUGGGUAACACUAACUGGAGGACCGAACCGACUAAUGUUGAAAAAUUAGCGGAUGACUUGUGGCUGGGGGUGAAAGGCCAAUCAAACCGGGAGAUAGCUGGUUCUCCCCGAAAGCUAUUUAGGUAGCGCCUCGUGAAUUCAUCUCCGGGGGUAGAGCACUGUUUCGGCAAGGGGGUCAUCCCGACUUACCAACCCGAUGCAAACUGCGAAUACCGGAGAAUGUUAUCACGGGAGACACACGGCGGGUGCUAACGUCCGUCGUGAAGAGGGAAACAACCCAGACCGCCAGCUAAGGUCCCAAAGUCAUGGUUAAGUGGGAAACGAUGUGGGAAGGCCCAGACAGCCAGGAUGUUGGCUUAGAAGCAGCCAUCAUUUAAAGAAAGCGUAAUAGCUCACUGGUCGAGUCGGCCUGCGCGGAAGAUGUAACGGGGCUAAACCAUGCACCGAAGCUGCGGCAGCGACGCUUAUGCGUUGUUGGGUAGGGGAGCGUUCUGUAAGCCUGCGAAGGUGUGCUGUGAGGCAUGCUGGAGGUAUCAGAAGUGCGAAUGCUGACAUAAGUAACGAUAAAGCGGGUGAAAAGCCCGCUCGCCGGAAGACCAAGGGUUCCUGUCCAACGUUAAUCGGGGCAGGGUGAGUCGACCCCUAAGGCGAGGCCGAAAGGCGUAGUCGAUGGGAAACAGGUUAAUAUUCCUGUACUUGGUGUUACUGCGAAGGGGGGACGGAGAAGGCUAUGUUGGCCGGGCGACGGUUGUCCCGGUUUAAGCGUGUAGGCUGGUUUUCCAGGCAAAUCCGGAAAAUCAAGGCUGAGGCGUGAUGACGAGGCACUACGGUGCUGAAGCAACAAAUGCCCUGCUUCCAGGAAAAGCCUCUAAGCAUCAGGUAACAUCAAAUCGUACCCCAAACCGACACAGGUGGUCAGGUAGAGAAUACCAAGGCGCUUGAGAGAACUCGGGUGAAGGAACUAGGCAAAAUGGUGCCGUAACUUCGGGAGAAGGCACGCUGAUAUGUAGGUGAAGCGACUUGCUCGUGGAGCUGAAAUCAGUCGAAGAUACCAGCUGGCUGCAACUGUUUAUUAAAAACACAGCACUGUGCAAACACGAAAGUGGACGUAUACGGUGUGACGCCUGCCCGGUGCCGGAAGGUUAAUUGAUGGGGUUAGCGCAAGCGAAGCUCUUGAUCGAAGCCCCGGUAAACGGCGGCCGUAACUAUAACGGUCCUAAGGUAGCGAAAUUCCUUGUCGGGUAAGUUCCGACCUGCACGAAUGGCGUAAUGAUGGCCAGGCUGUCUCCACCCGAGACUCAGUGAAAUUGAACUCGCUGUGAAGAUGCAGUGUACCCGCGGCAAGACGGAAAGACCCCGUGAACCUUUACUAUAGCUUGACACUGAACAUUGAGCCUUGAUGUGUAGGAUAGGUGGGAGGCUUUGAAGUGUGGACGCCAGUCUGCAUGGAGCCGACCUUGAAAUACCACCCUUUAAUGUUUGAUGUUCUAACGUUGACCCGUAAUCCGGGUUGCGGACAGUGUCUGGUGGGUAGUUUGACUGGGGCGGUCUCCUCCUAAAGAGUAACGGAGGAGCACGAAGGUUGGCUAAUCCUGGUCGGACAUCAGGAGGUUAGUGCAAUGGCAUAAGCCAGCUUGACUGCGAGCGUGACGGCGCGAGCAGGUGCGAAAGCAGGUCAUAGUGAUCCGGUGGUUCUGAAUGGAAGGGCCAUCGCUCAACGGAUAAAAGGUACUCCGGGGAUAACAGGCUGAUACCGCCCAAGAGUUCAUAUCGACGGCGGUGUUUGGCACCUCGAUGUCGGCUCAUCACAUCCUGGGGCUGAAGUAGGUCCCAAGGGUAUGGCUGUUCGCCAUUUAAAGUGGUACGCGAGCUGGGUUUAGAACGUCGUGAGACAGUUCGGUCCCUAUCUGCCGUGGGCGCUGGAGAACUGAGGGGGGCUGCUCCUAGUACGAGAGGACCGGAGUGGACGCAUCACUGGUGUUCGGGUUGUCAUGCCAAUGGCACUGCCCGGUAGCUAAAUGCGGAAGAGAUAAGUGCUGAAAGCAUCUAAGCACGAAACUUGCCCCGAGAUGAGUUCUCCCUGACUCCUUGAGAGUCCUGAAGGAACGUUGAAGACGACGACGUUGAUAGGCCGGGUGUGUAAGCGCAGCGAUGCGUUGAGCUAACCGGUACUAAUGAACCGUGAGGCUUAACC
rnacentral:rRNA from 3 species